CCUACGGGAGGCAGCAGUGGGGAAUCUUGCGCAAUGCACGACAGUGUGACGCAGCAACGCCGCGUGGGGGAAGAAGGCCUUCGGGUUGUAAACCUCUUUCAGGAAGGACGAAGCCUCGGCCGCGAAUAGCGGUCCGAGGUGACGGUACUUCCACAAGAAGCCCCGGCUAACUACGUGCCAGCAGCCGCGGUAAUACGUAGGGGGCUAGCGUUGUCUGGAAUCAUUGGGCGUAAAGCGCGCGUAGGCGGCCAGAUAAGUCCGGUGUGAAAGUCACAGGCUCAACCUGUGAAUGCCGCUGGAAACUGUCUGGCUAGAGUCCGGAAGGGGCGAGUGGAAUUCCUGGUGUAGCGGUGAAAUGCGCAGAUAUCAGGAGGAACACCAAUGGCGAAGGCAGCUCGCUGGAACGGUACUGACGCUGAGGCGCGAAAGCGUGGGGAGCGAACAGGAUUAGAUACCCUGGUAGUCCACGCCGUAAACGAUGGGCACUAGGUGUGGGGAGGUGUCGACUCCUCCUCGUGCGACGCGUACGCGAGUAGUGCCGCCGUGGGUAGGUACGGCCGCGAGACGUUAAACGUACGAAGAGUUAGACGGCGNGAGACGNGCGACGGACGACGACGAGGGAGGAGG
rnacentral:rRNA from 1 species